rnacentral:rRNA from 1 species
GACGAACGCUGGCGGCGUGCCUAAUACAUGCAAGUAGAACGCUGAAGGAGGAGCUUUCUUCUCUGGAUGAGUUGCGAACGGGUGAGUAACGCGUAGGUAACCUGCCUGUUAGCGGGGGAUAACUAUUGGAAACGAUAGCUAAUACCGCAUAAUAGUAGAUGUUGCAUGACAUUUGCUUAAAAGUUGCAAUUGCAUCACUACCAGUUGGACCUUCGUUGUAUUAGCUAGUUGGUGAGGUAACGGCUCACCAAGGCAACGAUACAUAGCCGACCUGCGAGGGUGAUCGGCCACACUGGGACUGAGACACGGCCCAGACUCCUACGGGAGGCAGCAGUAGGGAAUCUUCGGCAAGGGACGGAAGUCUGACCGAGCAACGCCGCGUGAGUGAAGAAGGGUUUCGGAUCGUAAAGCUCGGUUGUAAGAGAAGAACGAGUGUGAGAGUGGAAAGUUCACACUGUGACGGUAUCUUACCAGAAAGGGACGGCUAACUACGUG